AUUCUCUUCCUUUGAUUAUUCUUUUCAAGACUAUGUAUUAGGUCGUUGUUUCUUUAGAUGGAUUAUGGGAGAUUUCUGGGUAAGCCUACUGACUGACCAAUGAGGUAAGGUAGAAUCAGACUCUGUCUCCCUCCUCCCUCUCCCUCCCACUUCAGUUAGUCUCUUCAGUUGGAGUCAAACUGGGAUUCAGACUGAACUCUUGACAUAGUCUCGGUGCCAUGGCAAGUCUUUUUACCUCUAACUCUCUAAUAAGACUAUAAGUUGCUAAAUUCGUGUAACUCCUGCAUUGGUGAAGAAAGUAUCUGCUGUGGGAAUUCUCUAUACUUGAGGAAAGCACAGAUGUAAUCGAAAAGAAAAAAAAAAGGUGAGAAAACUGAAGUUUGGAAAAGGCUUACUCAAAUUUACCCAGGGCCUCAGUAACAGAAGUGGGACUUGCACCUUUUGAAUUAAAUCAAUGGUAGACCUUAGGAAGGAUCUGCCAUCUCUCAAUUAUCCAUGGCCACAAAAGGGGAAUAUUGAUGUGGGUAAUCAGAAACUGCAAGUAAUCUGAAUGAACAAGGCUAAUUCACAUGGAAACUGGCCUCAAGGGAGCUUCAUGCCCAGCUGUAUGUGGUAGAGUGCCUGGAUGCUCAGCUGGGUGAUUGAUCAGGUUUGACGGGAUUGAACAGGUUGUGUUUGUAAACAUCGAAUCCACUGGCUUUUGGUUUUCAUUUUUUGACUCAUUUCAAAAAGUCAUAUCAGGGAAAUAUGUGAAAAAAGAAGGAAAAUCUUGAAGAGAUAAAAA
rnacentral:lncRNA from 1 species